rnacentral:rRNA from 1 species
AAUGGGCGAAAGCCUGAUCCAGCCAUGCCGCGUGUGUGAAGAAGGUCUUCGGAUUGUAAAGCACUUUAAGUUGGGAGGAAGGGCAGUAAGUUAAUACCUUGCUGUUUUGACGUUACCGACAGAAUAAGCACCGGCUAACUCUGUGCCAGCAGCCGCGGUAAUACAGAGGGUGCAAGCGUUAAUCGGAAUUACUGGGCGUAAAGCGCGCGUAGGUGGUUCGUUAAGUUGGAUGUGAAAGCCCCGGGCUCAACCUGGGAACUGCAUCCAAAACUGGCGAGCUAGAGUACGGUAGAGGGUGGUGGAAUUUCCUGUGUAGCGGUGAAAUGCGUAGAUAUAGGAAGGAACACCAGUGGCGAAGGCGACCACCUGGACUGAUACUGACACUGAGGUGCGAAAGCGUGGGGAGCAAA